rnacentral:lncRNA from 1 species
ACAAUGAGCAAGAUGGGUGCCAUAUUGGCCUCUGGAAUUCUUGAUGCUGGUGGAAGGAAUGUGACAAUUAAGCUGCUAUCCAAAACGAAGCAUGAUAAAAUCACAGCAGUUGUUGGGCUUGCAGUGUUCAGCCAAUUUUGGUAUUGGUAUCCCCUUCUCUAUUUCAUAAGCCUCUCUUUCUCUCCCACUGCCUUCAUUGGACUCAAUUAUGAUCUGAAAGUUCCAAGAUUUGAGUUCUUAUCAAAUGCCAAGGCUUCCCUAUUUGAGUAUCCACGCCCAACCACACCUCCCACAUCAACUUCAGCUGUCAAGUUACCCACUGCUAUUUUAUCAACAACUGCAAAAGCAAAAUCAAAAGCAAAGAAAGAUGCAGAACAUAAAGCUAGUUCUGAGAAGUCAUCCAGUGAAAAGGGUCCUAAAUCUUCUGAGAAGGAUGCCGAUGUGAUGUAAGCAUGAUAAAAUCACAGCAGUUGUUGGGCUUGCAGUGUUCAGCCAAUUUUGGUAUUGGUAUCCCCUUCUCUAUUUCAUAAGCCUCUCUUUCUCUCCCACUGCCUUCAUUGGACUCAAUUAUGAUCUGAAAGUUCCAAGAUUUGAGUUCUUAUCAAAUGCCAAGGCUUCCCUAUUUGAGUAUCCACGCCCAACCACACCUCCCACAUCAACUUCAGCUGUCAAGUUACCCACUGCUAUUUUAUCAACAACUGCAAAAGCAAAAUCAAAAGCAAAGAAAGAUGCAGAACAUAAAGCUAGUUCUGAGAAGU